UCUAUCUCGUUAGGAACCAUGACUCAGACCUCACCCUCCUUUCUCUCUCCCUCUCUCCACGAUUCUUCAUCUCCCACCUCUUUUCCCCUUAAACCGUUGUCUUUCUCCUCUCAUCCCUCCCUUCACCAAUGCUCUCGGUUACGACACCAUCCUCACCGUCUUCGACUCUACCGGCACCUUCUAUGCCGGAGGCUUCAUCUGUUCUCACCUCUGCCAAAAACUCACGUAUGAAACAUCUUUUCGCUUUCGAUAUUUACAACAACAUAAUCAAAAACCUCUUAGAACCUGAAUCACUUCAUUGGAUGGUCGCAUUCACCGUCUCAAUAUCAAGAACGAUUCGCGAUUGAAUGUCUCACAAGAUAGCAAAUCUGAUCAGAAGGUAUACAUAUUAUGCAUGUUACCUUUCAGACAUGUGAAUUUGAGAAGAAAUUAAGCAAUUUGCCAAUCUAAAAAUAAUUUAGCUGCCAAAUAACCAUUGGCGGCCUUUGCAAUGGACUCAAGGAAUCCUGCCGAAUUCAUAAUCACAAGCAAAAAUGUGGCUGCUUCUACUAUGCUAAGCGUAAAAGUUUGGUUCAUUAUUGUCUUCACUAUACCAUGAUAUUAACUUUUAUUUCUUAAUUGUCUUCAUAGUAACAUUUUCAAAUCACAGUAGUCAUUCCUUCAAUAAGAUAAUACUAACUACAUUUCAUUAUUGGACAUUAUAUUUGCAUCUUUGGUGAGGUGUUCAUCUAAUAUUGUUUGUCCAACCGCUUACGUUGCUGGAAAAGUCUGAUGAGUGUAUCUUUACAUGGUUUUUAAUGUUUCAAUUUUUGGUUUUCAUAUCAGAUUUGAUGCAAUUGUUAUAUCAUCAGAGGUUGGAUAUAAAAAACCAUACCCAAGAAUAUUUCAUGAUGCUCUAGCAAAACGGGUACAAGAAUGCACGAUGGAGGUUGUCUGCUUGCAGGCAGAUGAUUUCAAAGAUCUAAUCUUCAAAUAUGCAGUAUCACUAUCACAUGUGAAGCUUAAUAAGUGGUGCUGCUAUAGAGCCAAACUAAGUGUAACGAAAGGGGAGCAUAUGGUUCUUAUGGGUAAAGUUUCUUCUUUCACUUUUAUUUGUUUCAAUGAAGUUAGAAAUUUAUACAACGAUUAACCUUGAGUUUGCUGAUUGUACUGCAUAAUUGUAGACAUGCCUUUUAAGAAGAAUGAAAAAAAAGAAUAAAAUCAUUGACCUUACUCUUGGGGAUUUAGAGUAAAUCUUAGUAUUCUGUCUCUUUUAUAUUUCAGUUGUAUUCUUGCACUAUCUUUUAAUUUUCUCUCCUUCAUUUUCCAUGGACUUUGUUGGUGUCUGCAUGUUUAGCUUUAUAAUCUAACACAUUUGUUUACAUACCGAAACAAUCGGAUAAACUGCUCUCUAUGAAGUGAUUUUGCUGAAAAAAUAGUCAUAUUUUUCAAUACAUGACAUGUCUUCAUCAGUGAUUUUGAUCCUUCAGUUUGGCAAGUUAAUGAAGUAUUUAUGUGCCAUGGGAGUCUCCAAUUCAUUUUUUUGGUUCUAAGGUCAUUUUAAAUGGAUAUUUACCUGAGGUUGAUGCAUAAAAGAGUGGGUAAGAUUAUCUAUGGUAUACAAUUUAGUAUUCUUACACGGAUUAUAGAUUAUUAAGUGCAUAUAAUUUAUUUCCCAUGGAGAUUCGUUCAACCAAGAUGAAAUGGUCGUCCGACAAUGCCAAUUCAAGUGACAAUGUCCGUAUGGAAUAUGGAGAUACUUUUGCCAAUAUGCCAGCCAAAUUGGUCCGUGUGAAAAUUGAAAGUGUUGAAUGAAGAUGAAAUUUGACGGAUAAAAUAAUGCCUAGCAACAUUGAUUGUUGUGGUGUUAUACUUGAUUUGGUGCUGGACUAUUUUUUGGAUUUUGUUAUUUCAUUUUGUUUAAUGUUUUUGAAACCUAUCAUUUGCACUAUGUUAAGUUGCGAUUUAUCUCAUGGUUAUUAUUAUGCAUCCUGUUAGUUGUGUGUUUUGGUUAAUG